rnacentral:rRNA from 1 species
UACGUAGGGUGCGAGCGUUGUCCGGAAUUAUUGGGCGUAAAGAGCUUGUAGGCGGUUUGUCGCGUCUGCUGCGAAAGUCCGGGGCUCAACUCCGGAUCUGCGGUGGGUACGGGCAGACUAGAGUGAUGUAGGGGAGACUGGAAUUCCUGGUGUAGCGGUGAAAUGCGCAGAUAUCAGGAGGAACACCGAUGGCGAAGGCAGGUCUCUGGGCAUUAACUGACGCUGAGGAGCGAAAGCAUGGGGAGCGAACAGG